CUUUUCGAGGUAGGAGUCGACUCCUGUGAGGUAUGGUGCUGGGUGCAGAUGCAGUGUGGCUCUGGAUAGCACCUUAUGGACAGUUGUGUCCCCAAGGAAGGAUGAGAAUAGCUACUGAAUUGUUUCUUCCCAGGUCCUAAAGAGCAAGCCUAACUCAAGCCAUUGGCACACAGGCAUUAGACAGAAAGCUGGAAGUUGAAAUGGUGGAGUCCAACUUGCCUGGACCAGCUUAAUGGUUCUGCUCCUGGUAACGUUUUUAUCCAUGGAUGACUUGCUUGGGUAAGGACAUGAAGACAGUUCCUGUCAUACCUUUUAAAGGUAUGGAGAGUCGGCUUGACUACACUGUGUGGAGCAAGUUUUAAAGAAGCAAAGGACUCAGAAUUCAUGAUUGAAGAAAUGCAGGGUUUUUAAUGACCACAACAAGCAAGCAUGCAGCUUACUGCUUGAAAGGGUCUUGCCUCACCCAAGCUAGAGUGCAGUGGCCUUUGAAGCUUACUACAGCCUCAAACUUCUGGGCUCAAGUGAUCCUCAGCCUCCCAGUGGUCUUUGUAGACUGCCUGAUGGAGUCUCAUGGCACAAGAAGAUUAAAACAGUGUCUCCAAUUUUAAUAAAUUUUUGCAAUCCA
rnacentral:lncRNA from 1 species